rnacentral:lncRNA from 1 species
CGAAUAUUCUCCUCAAAUUUAAAUAUUGAAAAAGGCAAAGCGUAAACGUACCCCUUUAUAUUGGCUGUUGAAGGGUCCAUGAGAAGCAACAAUGUAAGGUUGGUAAUAACUUGGAACAGAGAGGUUCGAGUUUGGAGAAACGCCGUACUGCUGGAAGUAAGCAGGGACAGAUAGAGAAAAGAAUAGCGAUAACCCCACGAUUAUGAUGUUCCUCGAGCUUCCAGCUUCACUGUAACGUAAGUUUGAAAGACCUAAAGCCGUAAACAUUGCCCACAUAAAGCAUAGAAGAGAAGCAACCAUCACUUGAGGUAUUGAUGCUAUAAACCCUCCAACUUUACCUGAGGAUAUUAUCAAAAAAGCUUCCAUCAGAUCUCUAUAAUGAUGAAUCGUAUAGUUUACAUGUCUCUCUGGGAUUUUGAACCGAACCGAACCAAAAUUUUCGGUUAGGAGUUGGGUUUGCUUUGGUUUCUUUUUUAAAAAGUUCCUUUUUUGGUUCAGCAAUCUGUUACUUGGGUUAUUUUUUUAAAACAAAUCCGGCGGUAUCGUCGACGGCCUCACGCGCGACGUUGAGGCCGAGUUUGGUGAGCGUGUGCUCGCACUGAGCGAGUCCCUGAGGGUGAGAGAUAACGCGCGUGAGGAACUCUUUCCGCACGCCGGGGAGAGCCAAGAGACAGUGGUGAACAGGAAGCUGAACCUCUCCGACGAUGUGGAGACGGUGACGGAGGAGAAGAUCGUAGUUACGAUGAAUCGAACCUCCGAGAGAGUUCUCAACAGGCAAAACCGCGCGAUCCGCGAUCCAAAGCUCAACCGCUUGAAACGCGACUUCGAAUUGAUCGCACGGAAUCGCUUGACAGUUAGGGUAAGCUUUACCGGCGGCGGCUUCGGAGUACGCGCCGGGGACGCCUUGGUACGCGACUCGGAGAUUAGAUCCAUGCAUCGGAGCGGGAGAUAGAUCCGUAAUGCUGAGAGGCGUCGUCUUCUUCGACUGCUGAUUCGGAGCCAACGAGUUGUUAUCGAACGGUACGAGAUUCAGAGACGAGGUCUCGGCGGAGCCGUUGCUGUGACCGUUAACGGAGGAGAGUAGAGAAUCGGAUUGUUCCUGAGAAACGACUUUGCUAGAGAGAAUGGCCCAAGAGCUUUGCCAAUCUGAUCUGCUUGAGCCAACUGCGGAAGAGUCGGAUCUCUUGCCGCAAUGAAUGAAGCGUCUCCGUGAGGCCGUUACCGUCGCCGGAGUUUGGGAAUAUCGGAGCAUUGGAUUGUGAGGAGAAGAAGGUAGAAGAGUUCUCAUUGUUGAAUUGAGAGUGUGAGAAUGAUGUUCAAGCUUUGUUAAAGGAGGAAGACAAGUUGAGUGUUAUAGGAGAAGAGAAGAAGAGCGUGGAGUGCUCUCCUGCCUCUCACGAUCCUUCACCUACCACCAUAUACACACAUUUGUUUUUUUUCUUUGUUGUUGUGUCAUGUGUGUUUAGUUUGGUUAAACAACACUUGGACUUGGUGGUGGGCCAAACCCCAUAAAAUCCCAAAAGAUGUAUAGGUUUUGCCGUUUUGUAAAGUCUUUAAAAAUCAUGAUUUUUUCUAAAAAUAAUAAAAUAUCAUCUAGGAGUUUUUUAUAAACAUUAAUUUCUAUAAAUUGGUUUAUAACUUAAAAAAAAAAAACUUUUAUAACCUUCUUUCAGUAUCCAUUGCUACUUUAUAAAAUUUUAUUAAUAUGCUAGAAAAUUUAGAAAUUUAUCAAACAUUUGAUUAUGUGAAAACAAAUGUUUUUGACGCUUGUAAGUCGAAAACAAAUGUUUUUGACCCUUGUAAGUCAAAAACAAAUGUCACAUUAAAAUUUGAUUAAGAUCUAGAUUUUUAAAUAACAAAUAAUAUAUUAGUUUUCUCCAGUUUUAAAAAUCUUCUCAAUUCAAAUUUAUAAAAAAAUGAUUGAUAUUUUUUACUUUAAAACUUAUAUGGAUCACACAAAACAAACAUUAUUUUCUAAACAUUUAUAGUUGAUAGAUUUACUAUUCAAAUAUUAUGUACACAAUUUCUUUUCAGAUUAAUACAAAAUUAGAAAUAAACUAAUUUAAUCUGAACAAAAUCCAUGUAUUUUUUGUUUAAGCUGUAACUAUAACUAUUUUAUUCUUAAUUUUGUGCAACCAUCAAUUUGUUGAAAUAUAAUUUGUGAUGCACGUUGUUGUAUGUGUGGGGCGGGGCAAAAGAGGAAUCAACUAACUAACCAUGUAUUUUUCGAGUGUCCCCCAGUUUUACAAACAUGGACAUUUUCUAUGAUUUUUUUCUCUCCAGCGAUUUUUCCAUCAUCGUCCAUUUUCACCAAUAUGGAUUAUCUAUUUUGGAGACUACCAAAAGAGGAGGAUUUAAUUAUUAUCCAUAGAUAUUAUGAUAUAUUUGGAAGACUAGAAAUGACAAGAUUUAUUCAAACAGGGACGGCAACCCACAGGAGAUAUUGUGGAUGGCCGAUGUGGAAAGUAAGAUAUGGAUGGAGGCACAGUUAACCGUGAAUAUGGUCCAAUGGAGAAUUUCUAUAGCGGGAGUUUACAACAAUCUGCGGCUCUAGCCUUGGAAGGUUUUAGAGUUUGUUAUAUUGACGGAGCUUGGAAAGAGGAAGACAUGUUUACGGGACAAGGGUGGUUUUGCAGAAAGAGUGGCUCGGCUGAUGUCAUGAUGGGAGCAAUGAAUCUUCGUAGAAGUUUGUCACCUUUGCAUGCUGAGUUUGAAGCACUAAUUUGGGCAAUGGAAUGCAUGAAAACCUUCCAAUUUUCUGACGUAGUUUUUGCGACAGAUUGUUCUCAGUUGGUGAGGAUGGUGUCGACACCUGAUGAAUGGCCUGCUUUUUCUACACACAUAGAAGAAUUCAACCGCGGUAAGACUUUUUUCCCUCACUUCCGGAGCAGAUAUAUCUUUAGAGCACAAAAUACCUUGGCGGAUAAGCUUGCACGCGGUGCGAAGAAUUCUCCUUCAGCUUUGCUUUAUGUCGAUUCAGUCCCACCGGUUUAGUUUGCUAGACCGCUUGGAGUUUCUAAUUAGUUUUUAGUGGGUGUUGUAAAAAAAACAAAAAAAAAUUGUGCAAUCAUUCAGUAUUAAUUGCAACUAUUACAAAUAGUUUACUCUCUUUUUGUUUACAAAUUCGGACAUAUAAUCAACAACAAAAAAUAUGGUAGAUUACAUAAAAUAUGCAGAAUACCCUAGCCGCUUACUUAUGAUGGACAUUUAGCUAAUUGUUGUUUUUUGUUGAUUAUAUGUCCUAAUUUCCUUGGAUUUAUUUGAUCACUUAUCAUUAGCUAACUAUAUUUGAAUAUCUGCCCAUUUAUUUAUAGUACAUAUUUAUGCUUUUUUUUUUUUUUUGGAACAAAGUACAUAUUUAUGCUCUUGCUUGAUGUAAUAGUGGUAAGGGCCGGAAAAGUUUAUACCAAUCUACUUUUUUUUGUCAACAUAUCCACCUACCUUUUGUUUUGUAUUAAGUACCAAACCUUUCCAAAUUAUUGCAUAUUUUGUAUACUAUUUGUAACCAACUCUUCAAAGUCCAUACAGAUAAGCUACAAAUGUAAUUAAAAGUCCCCACAAUUUUCUUUGAAUAAAAUUCCGUACUCAGGCUUCCUUUGAAUGGAACGUUAAACCCACCACAUAUAACUACCACGGUUGUGAGAAAUUUGUUCGAGAUUCAGCUUGUAGUUUGAGUCCGGUUUGAUGGUGAUAAACUGAAGAUGAGCCUUUGGACUAAAGAUUGGGCUAAGUAAGGCAUUCAUAAGCCUAAACGCAAAGUAACAGAAGAAGAUACUUUGGUAAAGUGAUGCUGGCAUGGACGAUGUUCAUCGAUAAGUCAGUUAAAAGAAAGAGAAGCCCACAAGGGUAUCGAAGGAGAAUGAUUCAGGGUGAAUUAGCUAGUUUGAUCCAAGGUUUUGAAAACCUAAAACACACAAGACAGAAAGGAAAAGAAAGGAGGGAUUCGAGAGAAGAGAAACAUAAAGAGUCUUGGAUAAUUAGCUGUAUGAACAUGUGUCUGACAACGUUAAAUCGAUGGUUGUUAUGGUACCAUCAUCCUUGUAGAGGCUAUUCUUGCGGGUAGACAGUGGAUGUUCUUCUGAUGGGUAUUUAUAAUUACAUCUAUUUAUACAUGCAAUAAACUACCCAAACCAAGAGGUUACAUAUUUAGUAAAAGUGAAAGAAAUAAUUAAAUCUAGUUAUAAAAGGAUUGAUCAUAAUAGUCCAUAUAACUUACAACAACAACAACAACAACAACAACAACAACAUCCAAUGCCACGUGCUCUGUUCAACAAACAAACUUGCGAUCCAAGAAAACUCCAAGGUGUCAUAUAAAACUGAGAGAGACUAAAAAAACAGAGGAAAGGAAAACCAAAAGAAAAUCUAAUUAUUUACCACUUUGCCAUUGAGAUUUUUGUUUCCAUUCAAAUGCCAACCCAUUUGACCCAUCUGAAAAACCUUCCCACUCUAAACGGCAGCUCAUAGUCUUUAGCAAGUGCUGGUUCUCUCGUCACAGUCUCACUGUCUGACCAAACAUAAACCCCACGCUCUUGCCUACUCCCAGGAACAGUAUUGUCCAAAACCACUGCCAUGAUGAACGCAAUCACCAUGUUCAUCGAUAAUAGCGUGUUCAUCACAUAGUUCACCUGCACAAAACUCUUCACAAGUUUACGAAUAUUCUCCUCAAAUUUAAAUAUUGAAAAAGGCAAAGCGUAAACGUACCCCUUUAUAUUGGCUGUUGAAGGGUCCAUGAGAAGCAACAAUGUAAGGUUGGUAAUAACUUGGAACAGAGAGGUUCGAGUUUGGAGAAACGCCGUACUGCUGGAAGUAAGCAGGGACAGAUAGAGAAAAGAAUAGCGAUAACCCCACGAUUAUGAUGUUCCUCGAGCUUCCAGCUUCACUGUAACGUAA